CCUACGGGAGGCAGCAGUCGAGAAUCAUUCACAAUGGGGGAAACCCUGAUGGUGCGACGCCGCGUGGGGGAAUGAAGGUCUUCGGAUUGUAAACCCCUGUCAUGUGGGAGCAAAUUAAAAAGAUAGUACCACAAGAGGAAGAGACGGCUAACUCUGUGCCAGCAGCCGCGGUAAUACAGAGGUCUCAAGCGUUGUGCGGAAUCACUGGGCGUAAAGGGUGCGUAGGCUGUUUAGUAAGUCGGUUGUGAAAGGCGCGGGCUCAACUCGCGGACGGCACAUGAUACUGCGGGUCUAGAGUUAUGGAGGGGGAAGCGGAAUGCUCGGUGUAGCGGUGAAAUGCGUAGAUAUCGAGAAGAACACUCGUGGCGAAGGCGGGUUCCUGGACAUUAACUGACGCUGAGGCACGAAGGCGAGGGGAGCGAAAGGGAUUAGAUACCCCAGUAGUC
rnacentral:rRNA from 1 species